GCAAGUUAAAGAAAUCGACGCAUUGAAAACUAGGAUGGAAACACUUGAAUCUGGGUUGACAUGUAAAGAAGAAGAACGACAGAGAUUAUUGAGGCAAGUUAAAGAAAUCGACGCAUUGAAAACUAGGAUGGAAACACUUGAAUCUGAGUUGACAUGUAAAGAAGAAAAACGACAGAGAUUAUUGA